AGUGAACGCUGGCGGUAGGCCUAACACAUGCAAGUCGAACGGCAGCACAGGAGAGCUUGCUCUCUGGGUGGCGAGUGGCGGACGGGUGAGGAAUACAUCGGAAUCUACUUUUUCGUGGGGGAUAACGUAGGGAAACUUACGCUAAUACCGCAUACGACCUACGGGUGAAAGCAGGGGACCUUCGGGCCUUGCGCGAUUGAAUGAGCCGAUGUCGGAUUAGCUAGUUGGCGGGGUAAAGGCCCACCAAGGCGACGAUCCGUAGCUGGUCUGAAAGGAUGAUCAGCCACACUGGAACUGAGACACGGUCCAGACUCCUACGGGAGGCAGCAGUGGGGAAUAUUGGACAAUGGGCGCAAGCCUGAUCCAGCCAUACCGCGUGGGUGAAGAAGGCCUUCGGGUUGUAAAGCACUUUUGUUGGGAAAGAAAUCCAGCUGGCUAAUACCCGGUUGGGAUGACGGUACCCAAAGAAUAAGCACCGGCUAACUUCGUGCCAGCAGCCGCCGUAA
rnacentral:rRNA from 1 species